AACGAACGCUGGCGGCAUGCCUAACACAUGCAAGUCGAACGAGACCUUCGGGUCUAGGGGCGCACGGGUGCGUAAGGGGUGGGAACCUGCCCUUAGGUUCGGAAUAACUCCCCGAAAGGGGUGCUAAUACCGAAUAAGGUCUUCGGACCAAAGAUUUAUCGCCUUGGGAUGGGCCCGCGUGGGAUUAGCUAGUUGGUAGGGUAAAAGCUUACCAAGGCGACGAUCAGUAGCUGGUCUGAGAGGAUGAUCAGCCACACUGGGACUGAGACACGGCCCAGACUCCUACGGGAGGCAGCAGUGGGGAAUAUUGGACCAUGGGCGAAAGCCUGAUCCAGCAAUGCCGCGUGAGUGAUGAAGGCCUUAGGGUUGUAAAGCUCUUUUACCCGGGAUGAUAAUGACAGUACCGGGAGAAUAAGCUCCGGCUAACUCCGUG
rnacentral:rRNA from 1 species